rnacentral:rRNA from 1 species
GGCCAGACUCCUACGGGAGGCAGCAGUGGGGAAUAUUGCACAAUGGGGGAAACCCUGAUGCAGCGACGCCGCGUGAGUGAAGAAGUAUUUCGGUAUGUAAAGCUCUAUCAGCAGGGAAGAAAAUGACGGUACCUGACUAAGAAGCCCCGGCUAACUACGUGCCAGCAGCCGCGGUAAUACGUAGGGGGCAAGCGUUAUCCGGAUUUACUGGGUGUAAAGGGGGCGCAGACGGCGAUGCAAGCCAGGAGUGAAAGCCCGGGGCCCAACCCCGGGACUGCCCUUGGAACUGCAUGGCUGGAGUGCGGGAGGGGCAGGCGGAAUUCCUGGUGUAGCGGUGAAAUGCGUAGAUAUCAGGAGGAACACCGGCGGCGAAGGCGGCCUGCUGGACCGUGACUGACGUUGAGGCUCGAGAGCGUGGGGAGCAAACAGGAUUAGAUACCCUGGUACA